rnacentral:rRNA from 1 species
AUUGAACGCUGGCGGCAGGCCUAACACAUGCAAGUCGAGCGGCAGCGGGAAAGUAGCUUGCUACUUUUGCCGGCGAGCGGCGGACGGGUGAGUAAUGCCUGGGAAAUUGCCCAGUCGAGGGGGAUAACAGUUGGAAACGACUGCUAAUACCGCAUACGCCCUACGGGGGAAAGCAGGGGACCUUCGGGCCUUGCGCGAUUGGAUAUGCCCAGGUGGGAUUAGCUAGUUGGUGAGGUAAUGGCUCACCAAGGCGACGAUCCCUAGCUGGUCCGAGAGGAGGAUCAGCCAAACUGGAACUGAGACACGGUCCAGACGCCUACGGGAGGCAGCAGUGGGGAAUAUUGCACAAUGGGGGAAACCCUGAUGCAGCCAUGCCGCGUGUGUGAAGAAGGCCUUCGGGUUGUAAAGCACUUUCAGCGAGGAGGAAAGGUUGUUGGCUAAUACCCAGCAGCUGUGACGUUACUCGCAGAAGAAGCACCGGCUAACUCCGUGCCAGCAGCCGCCGCGGUAA